rnacentral:tRNA from 1 species
GGAGAGGUGACAGAGUGGUCGAAUGUGGCGGUCUCGAAAACCGUUGGAUGCGAAUAGUGUCCCGUGGGUUCAAAUCCCACCCUCUCCGCCA